AGAACGAACGCUGGCGGCAGGCUUAACACAUGCAAGUCGAACGCUCGUAGCAAUACGGGAGUGGCAGACGGGUGAGUAACGCGUGGGAACAUACCCUCCGGUUCGGAAUAGCUCAGGGAAACUUGGAUUAAUACCGGAUACGGCUGAGAGGCGAAAGAUUUAUCGCCGGAGGAUUGGCCCGCGUUCGAUUAGCUUGUUGGUGAGGUAACGGCUCACCAAGGCGAUGAUCGAUAGCUGGUCUGAGAGGAUGAUCAGCCACAUUGGGACUGAGACACGGCCCAAACUCCUACGGGAGGCAGCAGUGGGGAAUAUUGGACAAUGGGCGCAAGCCUGAUCCAGCCAUGCCGCGUGAGUGAUGACGGCCUUAGGGUUGUAAAGCUCUUUCGCUCGGGACGAUAAUGACGGUACCGAGAUAAGAGCCCCGGCUAACUUCGUGCCAGCAGCCGC
rnacentral:rRNA from 1 species